AGAGUUUGAUCCUGGCUCAGGACGAACGCUGGCGGCGUGCUUAACACAUGCAAGUCGAACGGAAAGGCCCUUCGGGGUACUCGAGUGGCGAACGGGUGAGUAACACGUGGGUAAUCUGCCCUGCACAUCGGGAUAAGCCUGGGAAACUGGGUCUAAUACCGAAUAUGACCAUGCACUUCCUGGUGUGUGGUGGAAAGCUUUUGCGGUGUGGGAUGGGCCCGCGGCCUAUCAGCUUGUUGGUGGGGUAAUGGCCUACCAAGGCGACGACGGGUAGCCGGCCUGAGAGGGUGACCGGCCACACUGGGACUGAGAUACGGCCCAGACUCCUACGGGAGGCAGCAGUGGGGAAUAUUGCACAAUGGGCGCAAGCCUGAUGCAGCGACGCCGCGUGAGGGAUGACGGCCUUCGGGUUGUAAACCUCUUUCAGCACAGACGAAGCGCAAGUGACGGUAUGUGCAGAAGAAGGACCGGCCAACUACGUGCCAGCAGCCGCGGUAAUACGUAGGGUCCGAGCGUUGUCCGGAAUUACUGGGCGUAAAGAGCUCGUAGGUGGUUUGUCGCGUUGUUCGUGAAAACUCACAGCUUAACUGUGGGCGUGCGGGCGAUACGGGCAGACUUGAGUACUGCAGGGGAGACUGGAAUUCCUGGUGUAGCGGUGGAAUGCGCAGAUAUCAGGAGGAACACCGGUGGCGAAGGCGGGUCUCUGGGCAGUAACUGACGCUGAGGAGCGAAAGCGUGGGGAGCGAACAGGAUUAGAUACCCUGGUAGUCC
rnacentral:rRNA from 1 species